AUUGAACGCUGGCGGCAGGCCUAACACAUGCAAGUCGAGCGGUAGCACAAGAGAGCUUGCUCUCUGGGUGACGAGCGGCGGACGGGUGAGUAAUGUCUGGGAAACUGCCUGAUGGAGGGGGAUAACUACUGGAAACGGUAGCUAAUACCGCAUGACGUCUUCGGACCAAAGUGGGGGACCUUCGGGCCUCACGCCAUCAGAUGUGCCCAGAUGGGAUUAGCUAGUAGGUGGGGUAAUGGCUCACCUAGGCGACGAUCUCUAGCUGGUCUGAGAGGAUGACCAGCCACACUGGAACUGAGACACGGUCCAGACUCCUACGGGAGGCAGCAGUGGGGAAUAUUGCACAAUGGGCGCAAGCCUGAUGCAGCCAUGCCGCGUGUAUGAAGAAGGCCUACGGGUCGUGAACUUCUUUUCCCGGAGAAGAAGCAAUGACGGUAUCUGGGGAAUAAGCAUCGGCUAACUCUGUGCCAGCAGCCGCCGUAAUAC
rnacentral:rRNA from 1 species